CCUCCCCCAGCCUCUAGCCUCCCCGCGGACUCUGACCGGGCCGUGGCGCCGCUGCUCCGCGCUCGGCUACUGCGAUCGCCGAGCUGAGCUUCGUGCAUAGCCGGGUCCUAGAGAUGCCCGCCUUUUCAUGCCCAGCAGUCCCGAGCUGCAGACUGGGUAGACUGAGGCUACGAGUGAUGGGAGCUCCUCCCUCUGCCUCCACCACUUCAGGGCAGUUAUUAUCAAUCCAAUCUGACGACCCUUCCUGGGCCCUCACCCUAGGUCUCAUUCCCAGAUCCCGCAGAAAGUUAGCUCAGACUGGAGACCAGCCAGGGAUGAGGAGAGAAGAAAAGGUCAUCCCAGGGCCUAGCCUUCACCUCUGCCCUCCGGCCAGAGCACUUACUCCCGAACAAUACCUAAAGUAGAGAUUGCUGGAACCAGCAUCCCCACCCCCCAUCCAUCCUGUAAAAAAAAAAAAAAAAAAAAAAAGACGAAGAAGAAUCUGCUUUCUCCUAGGCCAAACCCUGGCUACUUACAGUGGCCUGCUGCCUUCUCUGCUCCCGCCAAGACCUUCCCUAGGCUCGCAGCCAACUCCCUGUACUACUAGGCAGAGGAAAGUGUGUUCUAGCAGUCAACUCCUCUCUUGGGAGCCCACCCGAGUGCUCGUCUGCCCACAGCAGGGCCAGUCCGACCCAGUACCUAGAGCGCUGUUCUCUCCCGUUCUCACUGCACCGCCUGGAAUGUUUCACCCUCUCUCUGCUCACCUGAGGGAAUCCCGACGACGCCUAGGAUAGCUCAGAAAGUACUGCCUCCUCCGGGAAGCCUUCGUGGAAGCUCGACCCUCCCCCUCUCAGCCCUGCUCCCGCUGCAUUCUGGGUUCUUCUGACUGUCCUAGAUGAAUGCUGUCAGUGGUUUGCAGUUUUUGGUGACCCAACAAUCUUGGCCCCACCAGUCCUCCUCUUUGUCACCAGCAGAGGGGUUCAUUGUUUUGGAGAUCAGGUCUUCUGUACCCCAGACUGGCCUUCAGCUCCUUGGGCAGUUGAGAAUGGCUUUGGGUUCCUGGUUCUCUGGCCUCCAACUCCUGAGGGCUGGAACUGCAGGCAGCUCUGGUGGCUUAAAAUGACAUCGAACUGGAUAGACACUUGGGGAUGAGCGUGAACAACUGACCUCCUGCCUCCACCUCUCAAAUGCUGGAACUACAGGGAUGUAAUACCAUGUACGGCUGCCAUGUUUACCUUAGAGAGCCUGAGUGGCGAAGGCUCUGUUCUCCAUUAUAGUAUAAAGUCAUCAUUUUCUUUAAG
ensembl:lncRNA